GGGGAAUAUUGGACAAUGGGGGGAACCCUGAUCCAGCCAUGCCGCGUGUGUGAAGAAGGCCUUAUGGAUGUAAAGCACUUUAAGCGAGGAGGAGGCUCCCGUAGCUAAUAUCUACGGAGAGUGGACGUUACUCGCAGAAUAAGCACCGGCUAACUCUGUGCCAGCAGCCGCGGUAAUACAGAGGGUGCGAGCGUUAAUCGGAUUUACUGGGCGUAAAGCGUGCGUAGGCGGCUUUUUAAGUCGGAUGUGAAAUCCCCGAGCUUAAUUUGGGAAUUGCAUUCGAUACUGGGAAGCUAGAGUAUGGGAGAGGAUGGUAGAAUUCCAGGUGUAGCGGUGAAAUGCGUAGAGAUCUGGAGGAAUACCGAUGGCGAAGGCAGCCAUCUGGCCUAAUACUGACGCUGAGGCAUGAAAGCGUGGGGAGCAAAC
rnacentral:rRNA from 1 species